AGUGAACGCUGGCGGUAGGCCUAACACAUGCAAGUCGAACGGCAGCACAGUAAGAUCUUGCUCUUACGGGUGGCGAGUGGCGGACGGGUGAGGAAUACAUCGGAAUCUACUUUUUCGUGGGGGAUAACGUAGGGAAACUUACGCUAAUACCGCAUACUACCUACGGGUGAAAGCAGGGGAUCUUCGGACCUUUCGCGAUUGAAUGAGCCGAUGUCGGAUUAGCUAGUUGGCGGGGUAAAGGCCCACCAAGGCGACGAUCCGUAGCUGGUCUGAGAGGAUGAUCAGCCACACUGGAACUGAGACACGGUCCAGACUCCUACGGGAGGCAGCAGUGGGGAAUAUUGGACAAUGGGCGCAAGCCUGAUCCAGCCAUACCGCGUGGGUGAAGAAGGCCUUCGGGUUGUAAAGCCCUUUUGUUGGGAAAGAAAAGCAGCAGGUUAAUACCCCGCUGUUCUGACGGUACCCAAAGAAUAAGCACCGGCUAACUUCGUG
rnacentral:rRNA from 1 species